rnacentral:rRNA from 1 species
AGUGAACGCUGGCGGUAGGCCUAACACAUGCCAGUCGAACGGCAGCACAGUAAGAGCUUGCUCUUACGGGUGGCGAGUGGCGGACGGGUGAGGAAUACAUCGGAAUCUACUUUUUCGUGGGGGAUAACGUAGGGAAACUUACGCUAAUACCGCAUACGACCUACGGGUGGAAGCAGGGGAUCUUCGGACCUUGCGCGAUUGAAUGAGCCGAUGUCGGAUUAGCUAGUUGGCGGGGUAAAGGCCCACCAAGGCGACGAUCCGUAGCUGGUCUGAGAGGAUGAUCAGCCACACUGGAACUGAGACACGGUCCAGACUCCUACGGGAGGCAGCAGUGGGGAAUAUUGGACAAUGGGCGCAAGCCUGAUCCAGCCAUACCGCGUGGGCGAAGAAGGCCUUCGGGUUGUAAAGCCCUUUUGUUGGGAAAGAAAAGCAGCAGGUUAAUACCCCGCUGUUCUGACGGUACCCAAAGAAUAAGCACCGGCUAACUUCGUG